rnacentral:rRNA from 1 species
AGAGUUUGAUCCUGGCUCAGGACGAACGCUGGCGGCGUGCUUAACACAUGCAAGUCGAACGAGAAUCUACUGAAAGAGUUUUCGGACAAUGGAUGUAGAGGAAAGUGGCGGACGGGUGAGUAACGCGUGAGGAACCUGCCUUGAAGAGGGGGACAACAGUUGGAAACGACUGCUAAUACCGCAUGAUGCAUAGGGGUCGCAUGAUCUUUAUGCCAAAGAUUUAUCGCUUCAAGAUGGCCUCGCGUCUGAUUAGCUAGUUGGCGGGGUAAUGGCCCACCAAGGCGACGAUCAGUAGCCGGACUGAGAGGUUGAACGGCCACAUUGGGACUGAGAUACGGCCCAGACUCCUACGGGAGGCAGCAGUGGGGAAUAUUGGGCAAUGGGCGCAAGUCUGACCCAGCAACGCCGCGUGAAGGAAGAAGGCUUUCGGGUUGUAAACUUCUUUUAAGAGGGAAGAGUAGAAGACGGUACCUCUAGAAUAAGCCACGGCUAACUACGUGCCAGCAGCCGCGGUAAUACGUAGGUGGCAAGCGUUGUCCGGAUUUACUGGGUGUAAAGGGCGUGCAGCCGGGUCUGCAAGUCAGAUGUGAAAUCCAUGGGCUCAACCCAUGAACUGCAUUUGAAACUGUAGAUCUUGAGUGUCGGAGGGGCAAUCGGAAUUCCUAGUGUAGCGGUGAAAUGCGUAGAUAUUAGGAGGAACACAGUGGCGAAGGCGGAUUGCUGGACGAUAACUGACGGUGAGGCGCGAAAGUGUGGGGAGCAAACAGGAUUAGAUACCCUGGUAGUCCACACUGUAAACGAUGAAUACUAGGUGUGCGGGGACUGACCCCCUGCGUGCCGCAGUAAACACAAUAAGUAUUCCACCUGGGGAGUACGAUCGCAAGGUUGAAACUCAAAGGAAUUGACGGGGGCCCGCACAAGCGGUGGAUUAUGUGGUUUAAUUCGGCGCAACACGAAGAACCUUACCAAGUCUUGACAUCCUGCGACGCACAUAGAAAUAUGUGUUUCCUUCGGGACGCAGAGACAGGUGGUGCAUGGUUGUCGUCAGCUCGUGUCGUGAGAUGUUGGGUUAAGUCCCGCAACGAGCGCAACCCUUAUGGUCAGUUACUACGCAAGAGGACUCUGGCCAGACUGCCGUUGACAAAACGGAGGAAGGUGGGGAUGACGUCAAAUCAUCAUGCCCUUUAUGACUUGGGCUACACACGUACUACAAUGGCGUUAAACAAAGAGAAGCAAGACCGCGAGGUGGAGCAAAACUCAGAAACAACGUCCCAGUUCGGACUGCAGGCUGCAACUCGCCUGCACGAAGUCGGAAUUGCUAGUAAUCGCAGAUCAGCAUGCUGCGGUGAAUACGUUCCCGGGCCUUGUACACACCGCCCGUCACACCAUGAGAGCCGGGGGGACCCGAAGUCGGUAGUCUAACCGCAAGGAGGACGCCGCCGAAGGUAAAACUGGUGAUUGGGGUGAAGUCGUAACAAAGUA